CACUGAGGGAAAACUCUUGUCUCCUGAUGCAUGUGGUGGAGUGCUGGGAGAGAAAUGCAGACCACGUUCCCAUGUCAGUGGUGCUGAGUUGGCAGCAGUAUAUACCAUCCCAGAGGAGGCUGUAAAAAGCUCAGCAAGUGGGAGAUGACAGAGAGGCUGUGCUGCCUCUGCUCAGGGAACAGGAGAACUCUGAUAGGGAUAUAAAUUAUUGGGAGUGUUCAUCUCGGGAAUUGCAGACUGACAGAGCAGCUCUGAGGAAAUGCAAACUGUCAAAGAUGGUUUGUUUCAGCUGAGGCUUGAAUAGUGAAAAAG